GUUGUAUCACAUGCUGGUGUCCAUGUAUUACAUUUGGCCAAGUCGCUGAGAUUGUAGAUCAAGGAUCAACCACGUGUGGUACGGCUGGAGCAAUAUACACGUUGAUAAAUUUUUUCACGGGUUGCGGAUGCCUCUACUCGUGUUUCUAUCGUGGAAAGAUGAGAGCUCAAUACAAUAUUGGAGGCAAUGAUUGUGGAGAUUGCCUUAAACAUUUCUUCUGCGAGCUCUGUGCUCUCACUCGGCAAUACCGUGAACUCAAGAACCGUGGCUACGAUAUGAAACUUGGAUGGGCCGGGAACGCACAGUUGCAACAGAACCAAGGCGUGGCGAUGGGUGCUCCAGUCUUCCAAGGCGGCAUGACCCGCUAAGACUCAUUCCUUUAUAUGUAAUUUAUUUAGUCAUAUUAGAAAGUGAGGUCUAAUCUUCUGUGUUGAUUUGUGUAAUACGCUUGUUAUGAUUUAUGAAAAUGUUUGUAUAUGUUUGUAUAA